ACCAGGACAUGUAGUCGUGGUCCUUGUCCUGUUCACAUCUCAGCGUCAUGCUCUGUCCUGUCCCCAGGAUCUGGAAUCUGGGGGUCUGAGUGAUGCCAGCAUUCACGGGCCCUGUGGAGGAGACAAAGCUGAUGCCACAGACACCACAGAGAGGCCUAGAGCGGGGACCUUGAGGUUUGCACUCAGGAAAGGGACGCUGCUCAGGACUCGCCUGCCUGCAGGAGACCCAGGGCCACACAGCACAGGAGGCCGAGGCUCAUGGCAGGAGCAGGGCGGACGGAGGGCUCUUCUGGGAAUGUGUGCUGAGGGACUGGGAAGGAGGCUCUCGGGGGAGUCGUUCUGAGACGUCACUCUUCCUGCCUGGGCGGAGCCAACCCUCCAGGGGGCCGCAGCCCUUCCCCAGAGGGUCUGAUAAAAAGCUCCACGUACACGUGAACAGCUUAGGAUGGGAAGAAAGGACUUGUCUGAACUGACACAAGCCUUCACUUUCUUGCGAAACAGUUUGUAACCUUAUGUAAUGUUUUCCUCCUGUGAUAGAAUUCUUCAUUGAUGCACUGGUUCUGUGUGUCUGCGUGUUUCUGUAGUGCUGAAUUGGGGAAAAAUCAUUAAGGGCUUCCCGAUGCCUUUUAUGACUUGUGCGUCCCAACUCCUCCUCCAAGUAUCCGUUUCCGCUUUGCUUAAUUGACCAGCGUCCUGUUAACGUCCUUCCAGCGACGGUUCUCCUGAUACUGGGUUUCCAAACCUCAAGGGGCCGGCUCAUCAACUCUUGGGGAACCGUUUUGCUCUGUUUCUUACCGAGUCAGGACACCUGCCAAAGGUAGCAGAGCACCCGCCUCCCUGGUUUGGGCUGAGACAGCGGCAAGCAGAAACACGUCGCACCUGUGAGUGACCUUCCCUCGUGGCAGGACGAUGGCUACUCAGUGGUGCCGAUGAUGUGUUAGCACAGAGGUAUUCACGUGUGUGAGGGACUGUGGGGAAGUGGCCACCUCCAGGCAUGACCACAUGUCUGGAGGCUCAGUGAAUCGGCAUCUCUGGGGCCUUGAGAAGGACACAGGCACUAAAGCUGGAACCCAAGGGGAGCCUGAUGUUAUAACCACAAUGUCGAGCCUUGAAUUGGGGCCAUGCAAACCCAUGAGUGGGUUUCGCGUCUAUGCCUGGGACGUCGCUGGUCUAGGAGAGAGAAGAACACACAGUGCAGAAUGGUGGCAGGCCAGAAUGGAAAGGGGGAUCUUCCAGUUCAACGCUUGUGUUUUGAGGGUUCGGCACUGGGUCCGGACAAAGGGGACCCUUCUUCCAACAUGGAAUGACCGCUCAACAAAGCCACAGUUGCCCGUGGUCUGCUCAGCCCCAGCACACAGUGUGUGAACAUGAAACCCAGCUAUGUAUGCAUCUGAUAGGAACUCAAAAUAAUGUCCUUGGAGAUGAUGAAUUUGUGUCAACACUCUGUUAUAAAAUAAUUUGAAUGAAGGGACACAUGAAAAAAAGAAAUGAAUUCAAAUGAGUAAGUACAUUUUAUAGAAACAGCUGCAAACAGCUAGAAAGAGCUUUCGGUGAUCCUUUUUUCAAACCAUCUGUCUCCAGAUAGAGUUGUCCCUGACAUGGAUCAGGUAUCUCACAUGAUUUCAAGCACUCCUUAUCCACAGAACUUUCUAGAAGCACCUCACUCUCUUGAAUAUUUAUCUGUGAAUUAUUGUAACAGGUAGAGACUUGAAAUGUCCAUUAAAAAGAUGCCUCAGCAAAAUUAAUCUAUAGCAAUAGAAAUCAUAUCACUAACUUGUCAGAGAUGGAGAGAGGUGUUUGAAAGGAGCAUGAGGGGACUUUCUGGGCGGUAGAAAUGUUCUGUAUCUUAGUAGGGUGUGUAUUACAUGGGUACAUGCAUAUAAAUUGCAAAAGAAAA